UGCGAUAUAAAGGGGUGCCGUCAUAGCCUUGUAAGCAUGGCGGCUGAGAUUAUACCCUUACGACCUGAUGCAGAUUAUGCUGCCGUAGGCAUUUGUACGCCCUAAAUCC
rnacentral:ncRNA from 2 species